rnacentral:misc_RNA from 1 species
GAUGAAGAACGCAGCUAAAUGCGAUAAGUAACGUGAAUUGCAGAAUUCAGUGAAUCAUCGAAUCUUUGAACGCACAUUGCGCCCGCUAGUAUUCUGGCGGGCAUGCCUGUUCGAGCGUCAUUUCAACCAUCAAGCCCUGUUUAGGCUUGUGUUGGGGCCCUGCGGUUGCCGCAGCCCCCUAAAUGCAGUGGCGGGCUCGUUGUCACUCCGAGCGCAGUAGCGUAUCUCGCUCUGGGCGUGGCGGCGGGUGCUAGCCGUGAAACACCCACUAAGGUUGACCUCGGAUCAGGUAGGAAUACCCGCUGAACUUAAGCAUAUCAAUAAGCGGAGGA